rnacentral:rRNA from 1 species
AGUCGAUUGGAAAAUCGCAUCAGAGAGGGUGAAAAUCCCGUUCGACAUUGGAUCCGCAGUCGCGUUUGAGCCGUCGUCUUCGAGUCGGGUUGCUUGGGAGUGCAGCCCUAAGUGGGUGGUAAAUUCCAUCUAAAACUAAAUAUGUGUGGGAGACCGAUAGCGAACAAGUACCGUGAGGGAAAGAUGAAAAGAACUUUGAAAAGAGAGUUAAAAGUACUUGAGAUUGUUUGGAUUGAAGGGAUGACGCCCAGUCGGUCAGGAUGGCUUGGCGGCGGGCUUGUUGCUCCCGGGGGUAGGUGGCUCUUCGGAGUGUUUUAGCCCCGAGAGCAAAGCUUGCCGGCGAGCGAGGUCGCGGAUAGAUCCUGACAAAAUGGUCGUCAUUCACCCGUCUUGAAACACGGACCAAGGAGUCUUACAUGUGUGCGAGUGUUAGUGUGACGAAGCAUUAUCGCGUAAUGAAAGUGAAUUUGUUCAAACGAGGGCGACUACGGUACGACCCGGAGCAUACAUGCAGGGACCCGAAAGAUGGUGAACUAUGCCUGGGCAGGAUGAAGCCAGGGGAAACUCUGGUGGAGGUCCGAAGCGAUACUGACGUGCAAAUCGUUCGUGUGAGCUGGGUAUAGGGGGCGAA